GAUUAACGCUGGCGGCGUGCCUAACACAUGCAAGUCGAACGAGGUAGCAAUACCUAGUGGCAGACGGGUGAGUAACGCGUGGUCAACCUACCGUUGAGUGGGGGAUAACUAGCCGAAAGGUUAGCUAAUACCGCAUACGUCUCCGAGGGGCAUCCCUUGGCGAUAAAAGGAGCAAUCCGCUCGAUGACGGGACCGCGUCCCAUUAGCUAGAUGGUGGGGUAACGGCCUACCAUGGCACCGAUGGGUAGCUGGUUUGAGAGAGCGACCAGCCACACUGGGACUGAGAAACGGCCCAGACUCCUACGGGAGGCAGCAGUGAGGAAUUUUCCGCAAUGGGCGCAAGCCUGACGGAG
rnacentral:rRNA from 1 species